AACGCGAAGAACCUUACCAGGUCUUGACAUCCUUUUGCCCUCUCUAGAGAUAGAGACUUCCCUUCGGGGACAAAAGUGACAGGUGGUGCAUGGUUGUCGUCAGCUCGUGUCGUGAGAUGUUGGGUUAAGUCCCGCAACGAGCGCAACCCUUGAUCUUAGUUGCCAGCAUUUAGUUGGGCACUCUAAGGUGACUGCCGGUGACAAACCGGAGGAAGGUGGGGAUGACGUCAAAUCAUCAUGCCCCUUAUGACCUGGGCUACACACGUGCUACAAUGGAUGGUACAAAGAGCUGCAAACCCGCGAGGGUAAGCGAAUCUCAUAAAGCCAUUCUCAGUUCGGAUUGUAGGCUGCAACUCGCCUACAUGAAGCCGGAAUCGCUAGUAAUCGUGGAUCAGCAUGCCACGGUGAAUACGUUCCCGGGCCUUGUA
rnacentral:rRNA from 1 species